CAGUCGAACGGAAAGGCCUCCAGCUUGCUGGGGGUACUCGAGUGGCGAACGGGUGAGUAACACGUGGGUGAUCUGCCCUGCACUUCGGGAUAAGCCUGGGAAACUGGGUCUAAUACCGGAUAGGACCCUCCUUUAGUGUGGGGGGUGGAAAGUUUUUUCGGUGCAGGAUGAGCCCGCGGCCUAUCAGCUUGUUGGUGGGGUAAUGGCCUACCAAGGCGUCGACGGGUAGCCGGCCUGAGAGGGUGGACGGCCACAUUGGGACUGAGAUACGGCCCAGACUCCUACGGGAGGCAGCAGUGGGGAAUAUUGCACAAUGGGCGCAAGCCUGAUGCAGCGACGCCGCGUGGGGGAUGACGGCCUUCGGGUUGUAAACCUCUUUCGACAGGGACGAAGCUUUUUGUGACGGUACCUGUAUAAGAAGCACCGGCUAACUACGUGCCAGCAGCCGCGGUAAUACGUAGGGUGCGAGCGUUGUCCGGAAUUACUGGGCGUAAAGAGCUCGUAGGUGGUUUGUCGCGUCGUCUGUGAAAUUCCGGGGCUUAACUCCGGGCGUGCAGGCGAUACGGGCAAUACUUGAGUGCUGUAGGGGAGACUGGAAUUCCUGGUGUAGCGGUGAAAUGCGCAGAUAUCAGGAGGAACACCAAUGGCGAAGGCAGGUCUCUGGGCAGUAACUGACGCUGAGGAGCGAAAGCAUGGGUAGCGAACAGGAUUAGAUACCCUGGUAGUCCAUGCCGUAAACGGUGGGCGCUAGGUGUAAGGGGUCUUCCACGACUUCUGUGCCGUAGCUAACGCAUUAAGCGCCCCGCCUGGGGGAGUACGGGCCGCAAGGCUAAAACUCAAAGGAAUUUGACGGGG
rnacentral:rRNA from 1 species